AAAGCUGAAGCUUUCUCAGUAGUUCUCCCGUCACACUGUUGGGUACCCAAACUACCAGGUGCUCUUUGGUUGGCUGGGCGCUAGAUGGUUGGAGGUUAGACUGGCCAGUUGGAGUAGCAGCCACAGGAUCUUUACCACCACAGAGCCUGUGGAAGGUGUGGAGGAUCCAACUUUUUUUUUCACGACUGCAUUCCGGACCGCCUUUUUCCCCUGGAGCAAGUCGGAAACCCUGAAUUUCAAGUCAUUUUUUGCCGCAUUCCUCCUUUUUGCCUGACCAAAAGGGUGUAAUCGCAACCAGGUCUCCAGACCAGAGCUGCAUCAACACACCGUGCAAAGAAACCAACCCCAGACCCACUACAGACAUGAUCAUCAGACUGGGCAGGCUGACCCCUGGAUACUUCCGCCUCCUACAGAGACAGGUGGCGGGUGAGGUGCAGACCCAGCCACAGGACCGCGCGGUCAACCAGAUAGCCUUGAUGCUGGCCAUCAUGGGCCUGAGCCUGUCCUACUACAGUGCCAAACAGAUGACCGAGAAGGUCCAGAGGCUCCAGAAGAGAAGAGAUCCCCAUACCCCCUGAAGAGACCCCCCCCCCUCCAUGGAGAUGACAGUGUCGGUGUCCAGAACAACACCUUUUCACAACCAAUCAGUCGUAGUCACGUCGUUCAGACACUGGAGUUUUACUGGGAUCACUCUCAAUGCGAGGAGAAUUCGGGGGCUGCUGCUGUUAAGGGUAUCUUCAUUUUUCACCCCAAUGGAUGUUGGGAGGACCUUGUGGGUCGAUUAAAAAAAAAUGGGGGUGUGUAUGUGGGAAAGGCCCAUGGUGGGGUUUGUGUGGUCCUGAUAAAGUUUGGGGGGUAAAAAGUACAACCAGCUGUCUAUGGUCAGGCUUGGCCCCUGCUUCAGUCGUUGCCAGGGUACAUGCGUGCAGGAUGCCGUCAAUACUGUUCUGAGCUAAAAAGGGAUAGAGAAAUGCUUAAUUGAAUAUUCUAAUGUACUGUGAAUCUUGCCUGUGAAUCUUGCCAACUAUAUGACAGUUUGUCUAAAAUAACUGAACAGUAAUUAUUUUUUUAAGGGAAGGCUAUCUGCACUUGAGAUGUAUCUAGUAAUGACUGAAGGCGGGCCCGUAGUGUGGUUGAAAGUGGGAAGAAAGGAACCCUCUUAGGUUUUUUGUAAUUCCUUAUUGUUAAAAAAAUUAAAGUGAGCCAUGUGAACUAGA